UCACCUGUGAAUGCUGAAGGGCUCUGGCAAGAUCGCCCUGGGUGGGGUCCUGCUGGUGGUGCCUCCCCAACCCCUCUCCAGGCUGCACCACAGCCUGAGAAAUGCACCUGGGCUCAGCUCCUCUUGAGCUUCUUAGAAAUACCUGGGAAGUCUGGACCAGUACAUACCAGUACAUACCAGUACAUACCAGUAUACACCAGUAUACACCAGUGUAUACCAGUGUAUACCAGUUCUGCUUCAGGAACUGGUGCUGUCCAAUUCCCCCCAGUGUCCACCCUGAGCCUCCCCUGGCCCAGCCUGAGGCUGUUCCCUCUCCUCCUGUCCCUGGGAGCAGAGCCUGGCCCCCCAGCCUCCCUCUUCUGGCAGGGAGCUGUGCAGAGCCUGAAGGUCCCUCCUGAGCCUCCUUUUCUCCAGGCUGAGCCCCUUUCCCAGCUCCCUCAGCCCCUCCCCAGCUCCGUUCCCUUCUCUGGACACGCUCCAGCCCCUCGAGCUCUUUCUUGUGGUGAGGGGCUCAGAACUGACCCCAGGACUGGAGGUGGUGCCCCAGCAGAGCCCAGCACAGGGGAUGGCACUGCCCUGCUCCUGCUGCCACAGCGGGGCUGGAACAGGCCAAGGUGCCCUGGUCCUUCUUGCCCAGCUGGGCUCCUGUUCAGCUGCUGCCACCAGCACCCCCAGGGCCUUUCCUGCCGGGCCCUUUCCAGCCCCUCUGCCUCAGCUGGGAGCUGCAGGGGCUCUUGUGACCAAGGACAGGACCCAGCACUUGGCCUUCUUCAUCCUCAGACCACACUCAGAUCCAGCCCCUCCACAUACAACCAUGGAGCCUUCCUGCCCAACAGCAGAUCAAUACUCCCAGCAACCUCAGUCUCAUCUGCAAACUCACUGAGGGUAAAGAAGCUGUUAAUUAAAACAGCUGAAUGGCAAUUGAGGGGAUACAGAAACCAGGAUGGCGUUUUCUGCUUCAGCCUAUUUUAUGUAAGACUCAGUAUGAGAAUAAGCACCAGCAGUGACCUGGUUUAG
rnacentral:lncRNA from 1 species